GGGCGUGUGGCUCAGUUGGUAGAGCGCCCGCUUAGCAUCAUCUCAAGUUUGAGAUCCCGCCAUGCGGAAGGUCCCCGGUUCGAUUCCGGGCUCGUCCA